GAAAAAAAAAAGUAAAUGCAAAGGACAAUUACAGUCAGGCUGGCAUUCAAUAGUUGAAGGUUGCUGUAAAUUUGACAAUGAAUGCAUUACAUGAAGAAAAGUCUACAAUAUGAUGUACAUUAGAAACAACUAGUUGCAUCCAAUUAGAAGGGCCCCAAUAUGCCAUCAAAGUACCCCUCUCCUUGGACAGCAAGAGCAAAGUAUAUUGAGGUGUGAUUAUAAAGCCUCCUAGUAAUCUAGCAUACAGGUAACAGUUAUCACUUAUCAGUGUAUCUUAAAAGUAUCUGCAAUCAAGUUAAUUUGAUUGUAUUAGUAAUUAAAACUCCAUGAGAUAUAUCUUAGUGGAUGCAAAAGAUGAAAAAAUAUGAACACUAACUUAGCCUUCACCUUGGACUCCCAAUUAUCUCUCUUUCUAAAUCAAAUCUCAAUUACAUGGUCCUAAUUCUUUAUAAAUUAACAAACUCAAGGAUAAAUAUUGGCAACAGAGAUGGCAACCAAAAUGCAAAUCUGACCCAACUCAUUUGCAGAUUAUUAAAUCUUAAGGAGACAGAUGACUAUUGAUAGUACAUGCUAGUAUGUGACUACAUAUGAAC
rnacentral:misc_RNA from 1 species